AUGAACGCUGGCGGCGUAGAUAAGGCAUACAAGUCGUACGGUUUAUUUGAACUUUCGCAAGAAGGUUUGAAUGAACAGUGGCAAACGGGUUAAUAACACCCUGGUACAUACCCAUAAGAUCUGGAUAGCCCGUCGAAAGACGGAGUAAUACGGAAUAGUCCCUUCGGGGUAAAGACGCAAGUCACUUAUGGAUUGGCCUAGGUCCUAUCAGCUAGUUGGCGGGUUAAAGGCCCACCAAGGCUAUGACGGGUAGGGGGUGUGAGAGCAUGACCCCCAACAAGGGAACUGAGAACGGUCCCUACUCCUACGGGAGGCAGUAGCCGAGAAUAUUCGGCAAUGGGCGAAAGCCUGACCGAGUGACGCCGCGUGCAAGAUGAAGUCUUUCGGGAUGUAAAUUGCUUUUAAUUGGGAUAAACCCCAUGUAUUUGGGGAUGAUAGUACCAAUUGAAUAAGAGAUUGCUAACUACGU
rnacentral:rRNA from 1 species